rnacentral:rRNA from 1 species
GAUGAACGCUGGCGGCGUGCUUAACACAUGCAAGUCGAACGAUGAAGCCCAGCUUGCUGGGUGGAUUAGUGGCGAACGGGUGAGUAACACGUGAGUAACCUGCCCCCGACUCUGGGAUAAGCCCGGGAAACUGGGUCUAAUACCGGAUAUUACCUUUGACCGCAUGGUUGUUGGUGGAAAGAUUUAUCGGUGGGGGAUGGACUCGCGGCCUAUCAGCUUGUUGGUGAGGUAAUGGCUCACCAAGGCGACGACGGGUAGCCGGCCUGAGAGGGUGACCGGCCACACUGGGACUGAGACACGGCCCAGACUCCUACGGGAGGCAGCAGUGGGGAAUAUUGCACAAUGGGCGCAAGCCUGAUGCAGCGACGCCGCGUGAGGGAUGACGGCCUUCGGGUUGUAAACCUCUUUCAGUAGGGGAGAAGCGAAAGUGACGGUACCUGCAGAAGAAGCGCCGGCUAACUACGUGCCAGCAGCCGCAGUAAUAC